rnacentral:rRNA from 1 species
AUUGAACGCUGGCGGUAUGCUUAACACAUGCAAGUCGAACGGUAACAGGCCUUCGGGCGCUGACGAGUGGCGGACGGGUGAGUAACGCGUAGGAAUCUGCCUCAUAGUGGGGGACAACGUGGGGAAACUCACGCUAAUACCGCAUACGCCUACGGGGAAAGCGGGGGAGUCUUCGGACCUCGCGCUAUGAGAUGAGCCUGCGUUAGAUUAGCUAGUUGGUAGGGUAAAGGCCUACCAAGGCGACGAUCUAUAGCUGGUCUGAGAGGACGAUCAGCCACACUGGGACUGAGACACGGCCCAGACUCCUACGGGAGGCAGCAGUGGGGAAUAUUGGACAAUGGGCGCAAGCCUGAUCCAGCAAUACCGCGUGUGUGAAGAAGGCCCUAGGUUGUAAAGCACUUUCAAUUGGGAGGAAAACCUGCC